rnacentral:rRNA from 1 species
GACGAACGCUGGCGGCGCGCUUAACACAUGCAAGUCGAACGGAAAGGCCUGCUUUCCCUUGUGGAUUGCGGGUACUCGAGUGGCGAACGGGUGAGUAACACGUGAGUGAUCUGCCCCCAACUUGGGUAUAAGCCUGGGAAACUGGGUCUAAUUCCCGAUAGGACUGCAGGGUGGUGCCUGUGGUGGAAAACGAUUUUCUAGUGGUUGGGGAUGAGCUCGCGGCCUAUCAGCUUGUUGGUGGGGUAAUGGCCUACCAAGGCGGCGACGGGUAGCCGGCCUGGGAGGGUGGACGGCCACAUUGGGACUGGGAUACGGCCCAGACUCCUACGGGAGGCAGCAGUGGGGAAUAUUGCACAAUGGGCGGAAGCCUGAUGCAGCGACGCCGCGUGGGGGAUGACGGCCUUCGGGUUGUAAACUCCUUUCGACCGCGAGGAAGCCACCUGGUUGGAAGGGUGGUGACGGUAGUGUUAGAAGAAGCACCGGCUAACUACGUG